rnacentral:rRNA from 1 species
GUGGGUUGUAAACCUCUUUUCUCAGGGAAGAAGUUCUGACGGUACCUGAGGAAUCAGCAUCGGCUAACUCCGUGCCAGCAGCCGCGGUAAGACGGAGGAUGCAAGCGUUAUCCGGAAUUAUUGGGCGUAAAGCGUCCGUAGGUGGUUAUAAAAGUCUGUUGUUAAAGCUCACAGCUCAACUGUGAAUCGGCAAUGGAAACUGUAUGACUAGAGUGUGGUAGGGGUAGAGGGAAUUCCUAGUGUAGCGGUGAAAUGCGUAGAUAUUAGGAAGAACACCAGUGGCGAAGGCGCUCUACUGGGCCAUAACUGACACUGAUGGACGAAAGCUAGGGGAGCGAAAGGGAUUAGAUACCCCUGUAGUCCUAGCUGUAAACGAUGGACACUAGGUGUUGGCCGUAUCGACCCGGUCAGUAUCGAAGCAAACGCGUUAAGUGUCCCGCCUGGGGAGUACGCACGCAAGUGUGAAACUCAAAGGAAUUGACGGGGGCCCGCACAAGCGGUGGAGUAUGUGGUUUAAUUCGAUGCAACGCGAAGAACCUUACCAGGGAUUGACAUCCUACGAAUCUUCUUGAAAGAGAAGAGUGCCUUCGGGAACGUAGAGACAGGUGGUGCAUGGCUGUCGUCAGCUCGUGUCGUG